rnacentral:tRNA from 6 species
GCGUUCGUAGCUCAAUUGGAUAGAGCGUCUGACUACGGAUCAGAAGGUUAGGGGUUCGAUUCCUCUCGGGCGCGCCA